rnacentral:misc_RNA from 1 species
UACCCUUGACAUCCUCGGAAUCUGCCGGAGACGGCGGAGUGCCUUCGGGAACCGAGUGACAGGUGCUGCAUGGCUGUCGUCAGCUCGUGUUGUGAAAUGUUGGGUUAAGUCCCGUAACGAGCGCAACCCUUGUCCUUAUUUGCCAGCGGGUAAUGCCGGGAACUCUAAGGAGACUGCCGGUGACAAACCGGAGGAAGGUGGGGAUGACGUGGAACGGUUGGUU